GCUAUUUUAUAUAGCAUCAGAACAACCUAGUAUUCUAAGGAUGCCUCACUUUGAAAGGUAUUCCAUCAUCCGGAGGACUCUGCAUCAUAUAUGAUAUUGAUUAGUUAGAUGGACUCUGCAUCAUCCUAGAACACCACGGUCUCUGUUAGUGGUAUGCAUGCAUUAGAAACACAAUAUGUCUGUAUGUAAUCUAACUUGCAGUGUGUGUGUGGCAUGCAGGGAGGUGGUGAUCAGGUGAACAACAUAUGCCUGGAAGACCUCUGGCACAGUGGCGGUGUGCAAGCAACGUCCUGUUGCAUUCUACAUUGCAUUCUAUUGGUACUGUCUGUCAUCUCGUGUCAGCGUCUCAUUAUCGUGUACAAUCUAAAUGAGUAAUUCGGAGUCGCUUGUGUUUGAUUUCAGUUCAUAAUUUUGUGAUAUGCUCUUGAUCUUGUUCUGUUCCAUACUAGGGAGCUUCUUCUCCUCUCAUGUUGUUGCUGUCGUUUUGGUACUAGGUAGAAUGAGUCCUUGAGCUUGAUGAUGACAGAUUGUACACUGUCUUGCUCCAGUGUUACAUAAUUGUUAUCACAGUACACACAUACCUCGUUGUUGUCCAUGGAUCUUGUUCUCUGCUGCCAGCAUUGACUGGUUGUAGUUGUUUCGGCAGAUCACAUCACAUUCACAUGGGCGCAUGUGUAGCACUGACUGGUUGUACACACAUAAUGUUGGCUGGUUGUACACACAUAAUGUUGGCUGUUAUGUAUUGAUUUUAGUAUCAAAAAUGGCUCAAACCUGAAGUACUUAAAAUAGAUUGGUGUUCCUUUCUUGUUUGUUUUGAUACCCAUAUACCCAUAAAUCAGGGGGAAAUUAUUUCCUGGAUAGGUGUUUUCUUUUGUGAAGUUAGUGGAUGUUGAUCAAGUCCCCCUUUCCGCUGUAUGAAACGUUUCUCCUGUUGUACUUAAAAAGCUUUCCGCUGAUGGCAGGAAGAAGAAGGCUGUUCACAAGAAGAUGGCAGGAAGAAGCAGGCUGAUUCAAUUCGAUCCUCAAGAUGCUGGCCUUUCAUGUUUCUUCACGAGCAUCAGGACAAGGAAGUUGGAAGAAGCAUAGUUCUAGCUCAUUGGAGCUAGUUCUGGGAGCAAUGAAACCCUUUAGGCUGAUCCUAUUUGUAUGUGUGUUAUAUGAUGUAGCAGAACUUGUAGGGCUCAUGUGAUAGACUCGUGUGGUAGACUGUACACUUGUAGAGCUGUUAUCUAAUUGUAAACUUGAUGCUGAUCACAUUUGUAUGUAUGUUAUAUGAUGUAGCAGAUUGCUUCUUGCUGUUAUUUGAAA